UCGGUGGGGGCUCGAUCUCAUUACAGGGAUGCCGGCGACGCGGCGACACAAGUGGUCCACGAUGGGAUCCAGUGUUCGCUGGUCUUCCCAGUGGAUCGAGCUGAGGCGCUCAAGGCGAUCCAGUGGCGCGCGGCCUUCUCAGUGGAUCCAGCCGAGGCGCUCAAGGUGAUCGAGCGGCGCGCUGCCUUCUCAGUGGAUCCAGCCAAGGCGCGCCAGGGAAUCAUCCUAGGGUUUGGAGUUGGUGACCGAGGAGGAGGCGGCACCGGCGAUGGUGCGCAAGCCGUGCACGAGGCCACAGCGACUCCACAAAGUCUGCUUUGCUCUCCCCGACCCUCGGUGGCGUGCUCUCCGAUCUCCACUCCCUCCUUCUCUCCAUGCUCGCCGCAUCGCUGCCCUCCCCAUCACCAUGGCGACGAUGUUCUAAAGACUCGAUGUCAUUGACCCUCAUCAAGGCAUCUAACAUGGAGCGACCUGUUAAUGUCGUCGACACAUAUUUUCUAUUUGAUCAUGCUCCUGGAAGAACUGAUUUAGAGUGCCAUAUCUACAGUUGAUGUCAUCAAUGAUCCAGUAGCUCAUUUAUAGAAAAUCCUCUAUCUAUUAUGCUCAUCUCUCACGAUGAAAUUUUGGCUCAGAUUUCCUGUCAGGUUUGCCCAGGAAAGCGUUGAAAGAAGACAGAUAAUAUCUUUCAAUAUGCACAUAUCCCCAGAAAGCAAUUUGGUAAUAUCGUAUUUGUUUAUUAGAAUAUGUUUGCACAACUCCAUAAAGUUCUGAAGAAUAGUUAGAAGUGAUUAUGAUGAACAUGUGUAGCUGACAAAACAGCUACCCUUGAUGAUUAUUUUACCCCAUCAACCAGGUGAAUGCUAUAUGUACCUGAAGUAUUUGUUCGGGAUGUUUUCUCUCUCUUAUGGACACAAAUAUCUAGCUUCUAAGAACUAAUAAAUAUGCACAUUAUGUUGUACAUAAAAAUGAUAAUGUUUUUAUGAUUGAGCACAUGUAGAUAAAGGAAAUAAUUAUUUCAGAUAAAUCAUUUGUCUUUUAUAGUUAUAAUAUUUAUUACUAUAGAAGCAGAAUCCGAUUUUCUUAUCUAGCUGCAGCAGUGAGAUAAAUCUUGUAUGCACUUGCAUAGUUUAGGUUUUCGUUGUAAUUAUACGUACUAUAUUGUGAUUGUGGUCUUCAUUUUUAUGACUUCUGCUCUUUGUGUCAAUAUACACUUUCCCGGAAUAAAUAUCAAUUAUUUAGUUUUCAUUUUUUUAUCAAGUGAAGCAGCAACACAUCUAUGUUUUUAUCAUCUGGGAUGUUUGGAACUUUAUUAUCAUUGACUGAUUGCGUACCUUUGUUUUCAAACACUGGCUGGGCUCAAGAAUCCUACUUGGCUUAUUUGGAGAAGCAUAUGUAAGCUAUAUUUGAUAAAUGCUCUCAGCCUUAGGUUGCUAACAUUGGAAAGGUGGACAUAUAAUCUGGUCACUUCUUGACUCCGAGAGUUAGGCUGUUUGAGAAGAUUGUAAGCUUAUGGAACUGUCUGCCUCUUACAUGCUGCAUGCCAACUUAAUUUUAAACAAAUUAGAUGGUCUCAUAAUUGAUGAUGAAUACUGGAUUCUUGUGGCUCCAUGCUGAUUUUUCUUGAUACUUUUGGGUAGAAUCAAAUAAAUAAAAUAUUCUGACUCCUCCAGUUUAUAUGGUUAUGGUCUGGCUUGAUAGUUCGAUGGUGUACGUGUCUGCUAUAUUCAUUGUUAUACAGUAAUGAUGUACUAAAUCUAUUUCUGCUCCUAAAUUAGAAAAUUUCGGGAGUACUAACAUGAAGUACUAAUACAUUUCAAAAUUACUGACAGUAUAUUUCAUAUCUAAUUCACCAAAUGUUAUCAUAUCAUGUAUUUACUGUUUGGGUUAGUAUCACAAUGAAAAUACUCAUGAUUGUUCUGUCAUAUAGAUUCUUAAAUGGUCUAUAUGGAUUCACUUUCAAAUCACUAACUAUAUUAUUGAGUUCUCAGUCUCACUUCAGUUGCCGGAUGAUCUUUGGACAUGACAAAAACUACAUGAGUUUUUCAGCCCAAUUUUCACCCACUUGCUAGAUGUCUAUUGAAUCAGAGAAAUAUGAAAAAUAAGUAACUUGGAUGCUUUUGUCUGGACCUGCUUUACAAUUGAAUGAUUAUUUUGAUAAUUUGUUGUAGCAUGAUGUACGCGUUCUAACUGAAAUAUGGUGACUGAACUGAAGCAAGUUAACUAACUAUAUAUUUAUUUAUCUAGAGGCAAUUGCAUAUUUUGUGUUGUACAAAUUGACAAGCUGCAGGAGUUAGCUGAGGGAAGCUGCAUCUAUUUCUCCCUAAAGAGAAAAACACAUCUAUACUUUGCCAUGGUGCACCACAGUAGCUUAUCCAAGGGCUCUAUGGGCAUCUCCAAUGCUGGGCGCUUGGAGAGGCGCCAGGGAUUUUUUCCUGAUGAUAUCCUGGUCGAUGGGCAGUUGGAGCGGUCAAAUCCUAGCAUCGGACACCAGCGAGCGCAAAAGGUUGCGUUGGACGCUUCCUUCCUUUUCCCCUCGCAUGCGCCGCAUAGUUAGUUUAAUUAGCGUACAAUUAGCGUCCAUGGUUAGCAUCUAGCGUUGGAAGGUCAGGCUCUUAGAUUUUUCUAAUUAAAUACUAUUAAUUUGUUUCCUUCGUAAGCGCCAGGUCAGGCACCUGGCAUUGUAGAUGUCGUAAGAUAGCGUAUGCCUCAGCUUUGCCUCACAUGAAGUCCAUCACAACCGAACACGGUUCUGCUUGUUUCUAGAACUUACAACUACUAAAACUUAUCAUAUCCGCUCCAUUAUUUGGCAACCUAGGCCGAGAAAGCCAUGAUGUUUCCUUUGUGUAUUCUAAAUGGGCUGCUGUGUUGGAUGGAAUAACACAACCUCCUUUUAUUUGCAUGCAAAAGAAACAGAGAGCUUGUUAAGACUUUACGAUUUGUAUUUAACCCAGGACACACUAUGAGCAUAUGACCAUUUUAACAAUAAGUAGUUUCUGUUAAAUAUACUCCUUUAUGAAAUGCUGUUAUGACGUUGGGGGUAAAUUCUUAUGAUGUAACUGUACAUUGUUAGAACACAUGUAUAUCUUGUGCCGAUUGUGAUUAUUUACUUU